rnacentral:tRNA from 1 species
UCCCCCGUGGCGCAAUUGGCUAGCGCGUUCGACUGUUAUCUGCCAGCAGACAACGAUCGGGAGGUUCAUAGUUCGACCCUAUGCGGGGGAG